GACGAAGGAUGCAAGCGUUAUCCGGAUUCAUUGGGUUUAAAGGGUGCGUAGGCGGCCAUAUAAGUCAGUGGUGAAAUCUCCUUGCUUAACAAGGAAACUGCCAUUGAUACUGUUUGGCUUGAGUAUAGUUGCUGUGGGCGGAAUAUGACAUGUAGUGGUGAAAUACAUAGAGAUGCCAUAGAACACCGAUUGCGAAGGCAGCUCACAAAACUAUAACUGACGCUGAGGCACGAAAGUGCGGGGAUCAAACAGG
rnacentral:rRNA from 1 species